rnacentral:lncRNA from 1 species
GUUAUGACUAUGCCGUAGGUGACAUGCGGAAAGGUGACCAAAGAGUACAUGAAGAAUUCUUGCUAUCAACUAGGGCUGGAUGCCCCCAGGAAGAAUGCCGUGAGUCAACUUUAAUGACUAAUAUGUUAAUUUCUUCUAGCUACACAAUAUGAGAUAUUGCUUCUUCAUUAACGCUUACUGCUACGUAGUAAGAUGACAAUGGGAUUUUGUUUCUCGAGUUGGCACUCAGUAGUAGAAGUGGUUUAUACUUCGAAUAGUUGAGCAGAAAACUGGCGUGUCAUGGCUCCUAAUGUUACAGAGCAAGUGGACAGACUCUAUCCCCCCCUCUCUAGACUUUCUUUUCUAGGUUUGGUUGGGUACAAAAGGCUAGAUUCUGGUAUAUAUUCAUUGACGCAGAAGCUAGAAGCUCAUUGAUAUUAUUUUUCUUGCCAAACAUACAAAGGAUUGUGCAUAAAACUUCCAGCUUGAAAUCUACAUCUGGGUUACGAGCUUUCUCCAGAAUUUAAGAACAUCGUUGUGGACAUUUAGAUAUUUUUGUAGUAUUCUUCAGGGUCUUGACUUAAUUUCUUUUCACACAGUAAAAUAUUAAUUAUAUGUUGUACAGUAGUAGUAGUGUGCAUACUAUGUACUCAAGUUUAUUAAAGUCAAAGCAGGAAAGGAGAUCAGAGUUCAGGGCAUGUUCAGCUCCACCCAUGCAUCAAGGGAAAUAUAUACGACGCAAAUGAUAACGUGUUCUGCUAGAUGACAUAGUACAAGGUUCAGCAGCGACGACAUGAUCUCAAACAUGCCACUGGCACCUAUACUAAACUUGAUUUGUUCUCUCAAUAUGGAGUGUUAAUCUUCUCCUCUGCAUAGUACAAAUAUUCCCUUAGCUCUAAGGAUAUAGACAUGGUGAGUUUGGUUGGAGGAAAUAAGAAUGAUUUAUAAAAGUAAUAAAAGGGAGAUAAUGCUGCUUGAUGUGUAUGGGGAUUCUGAAGAUAUAUAUGAUUGAUACUUUCCCUGCAUGAUAUAGAUUAGUCGAGGUUUGAGAAGUUCUCUAUAAAAGAACUAUGUGGGGUUCUAUUAUUGUAUUAUUUCUAACACGUAAAAUAUUUAGGCCCCCGUUGCAUUGCACGGGCAAUCAGGUCAAAUGUGGCAG